rnacentral:sRNA from 21 species
AUGUGUCCCAGGUGCUGCGUGGCGCGGUGCCCGGGACGUCAGACAGAGACUGUGCCCCGGGAAGAUCUGGGCACUUCAGGGCGUU